CCCAGUGUUCAGACUACCUGUUCAGGAGGCCGUCAAUGUGUACAGUAGUCUGCACAUUGGUU
rnacentral:pre_miRNA from 1 species